CCGUAACUAUAACGGUCCUAAGGUAGCGAAAUUCCUUGUCGGGCAAGUUCCGACCCGCACGAAAGGCGUAACGAUUUGGGCGCUGUCUCAGCUGUAGACUCGGUGAAGUCUUAGUACCUGUGAAGAUGCAGGUUACCCGCGACUAGACGGAAAGACCCCAUGGAGCUUCACUGCAGGUUGAUAUUGGGAUUUGAUGCAGCAUGUACAGGAUAGGUAGGAGGCAAAGAGAUGGAUACGCCAGUAUUCAAGGAGCCGCUGUUGGGAUACUACCCCUGUUGUAUUGGAUUUCUAACCGGACGACGUAAGCCGUUGACGGGACAGUGUCAGUCGGGCAGUUUGACUGGGGCGGUCGCCUCCCAAAGAGUAACGGAGGCGCCCAAAGAUACCCUCAGCUUGGAUGGAAACCAAGCGCAGAGUGCAAAGGCAAAAGGGUGUUUGACUGCGAGACCCACAAGUCGAGCAGGGACGAAAGUCGGGCUUAGUGAUCCGGCGGUGCUGAAUGGAAAGGCCGUCGCUCAACGGAUAAAAGCUACCCUGGGGAUAACAGGCUGAUCUCCCCCAAGAGUCCACAUCGACGGGGAGGUUUGGCACCUCGAUGUCGGCUCAUCGCAUCCUGGGGCUGUAUUCGGUCCCAAGGGUUUGGCUGUUCGCCAAUUAAAGCGGUACGCGAGCUGGGUUCAGAACGUCGUGAGACAGUUCGGUCCCUAUCUGUCGUGGGCGCAGGAGGUUUGAGGAGAGCUGCCCCUAGUACGAGAGGACCGGGGUGGACGGACCGAUGGUGCACCAGUUGUCACGCCAGUGGCACAGCUGGGCAGCCAAGUCCGGACGGGAUAAGCGCUGAAGGCAUCUAAGCGUGAAGCCCCCUCCAAGAUGAGACCUCCCAUUGGCGACAAGUAAGGCCCCUCGAAGACGACGAGGUUGAUAGGCCGCGAGUGCAAGCGCAGCGAUGUGCUUAGCGGGGCGGUACUAAUAGGCCGAGGACUUGGCCAA
rnacentral:rRNA from 1 species